rnacentral:rRNA from 1 species
UACGUAGGGUGCAAGCGUUGUCCGGAAUUAUUGGGCGUAAAGAGCUCGUAGGCGGUUUGUCGCGUCUGCUGUGAAAACUCGGGGCUUAACUCCGGGCCUGCAGUGGGUACGGGCAGACUAGAGUGCGGUAGGGGAGACUGGAAUUCCAGGUGUAGCGGUGAAAUGCGUAGAUAUCUGGAGGAAUACCGGUGGCGAAGGCGGCAUCCUGGACCGACAUUGACGCUGAGGAGCGAAAGCUAGGGGAGCAAACGGG